UACGAAGGGGCUAGUGUUGCUCGGAAUUACUGGGCGUAAAGGGCGCGUAGGCGGCACUGUUAGUCAGGCGUGAAAGUCCUGGGCUCAACCUGGGAACUGCGCUUGAUACGGCAGAGCUAGAGGAUGGAAGAGGGUCGCGGAAUUCCCAGUGUAGAGGUGAAAUUCGUAGAUAUUGGGAAGAACACCGGUGGCGAAGGCGGCGACCUGGUCCAUUACUGACGCUGAGGCGCGACAGCGUGGGGAGCAAACAGG
rnacentral:rRNA from 1 species